ensembl:lncRNA
UUGUGUGUGUAUGUUUGCAUGUGUAGCGUGUGUGUUUGCAUGUGUGUGUGCAUUCGUGCGUGCGAGUGACAAACCCAACAGAAGCUCUCCAGGUUAUUGAUUUCGUACAUUUUAUUACCAUUGCACCAUUUAUACAAGUACAUAGAACUUUGAAUGCACCAAUUUCUCUUCUUUUUUUUGUGUGUGUGGUCUUUGCUGUGGUUUUUGAGUGACAGUUGGCAUGGAGACAUGGAAUGACAACAUCAACUGCAGUCGCCCAUUGGUUGCGGACUGAAAACAAAAAGGAUAACAUUUUGUUUCGUUCCCCACUGGACCAAAAGACGAGACCACGACAUGCUUCUGCUGAGAGGGGCGGAGCCUCUGAGUCUGGUGGGAUCUGAUGCUCUACAUACACAUAGGUGUGUGUGACAUCACCAGAGCCUAAUACACCUGCAUGCACGUAGAUGUGUAUACACACUCGCACGGUAUAUCGGUCGGUAUACACACCUACAUAUAUACAGGUCUACUGGCACCUACAUACCCAUAGGUUCUUGUAACAUAAACCCAUAUAUAUAUUUAUACAUAUAUAGGUAAAUAUAUACACCUAAAUAUAGGUAAAUAUAAUCACCUACGUAUAUCUAGGUCUGUAUACACAUACUUAUACACAGGUAAAUAUACACGUGUAGAUAUGUCUACUGACACCUACAUAUAUAUACAGGUCUAUAUAAACUCCUACAUGUACACAGGUGUAGUACAGGUAUAUGCACACCUACAUGUAUGUAUCAUGUUAGCGGGGAGGGGGGAAAGGGGGGGGUUGGAGGGUCUCCUCCCAUGCAGGAUGGCCAUGGCAUCCCAUAAUGCUACCGUGACCAUGGUAACGUGUCUCCAAAAGGUUGGUAGUGAUCACAUAGGGGUCUCUUUAUGGUUCCGGCCCCGACAGCUUAACCUCCUUCUGGGAGUAUUACAGGAACAUUCAGGGAGUAUUAUGGGAAUAUUGCUGGAACAUCACAGGAAUAGGAUCCUCGUGUGUGAUCUGGUCAGAGGAGGUCAGACCCGCAGCCUUUUAUGUAAACUGUGUUUUGGGAAUCUGCUCGGAUUUCCAGACCGCACCAGUCCGUCCUGAAACCAAUCGUGGCCUAGCUAGCUGUUAGCUAGCGGUUAGCCCCCACUACGGGGACAUGAAACAGUUGAACAUGUGAACAUGUGUCUGGGAUGUGAGGACAUUAAAGAGACACAGGGACGUUUGGGAGCCGUGUAGAACCCUGGAGAACGUUUUGAGGACCGCUCUCCGUGCUGUCAGGACGUGUUUGAUGAUCCGUCGCUGCUGCACUCGUCUGACCUGAACUCUGUUC